UCGUUAGCUCAGUUGGUAUAGCAGUUGGCUUUUAACCAAUUGGUCGUAGGUUCGAAUCCUACACGAC
rnacentral:tRNA from 1 species